rnacentral:rRNA from 1 species
AUUCCAGCUCCAGUAGCGUAUAUUAAAGUUGUUGCAGUUAAAAAGCUCGUAGUUGGAUUUCUGACUUCAGAUACCUGACCCUCCCUCGCUAGAGGUGUGUGUGCCGGAGUAUUUGUAUCAUCCUUUCAGUGAUCGGCUCUACCCUUAACCGGGUCGGAGCUGCUAGCUGGAUCUUUUACUUUGAAGAAAUUGGAGUGUUUAAAGCAGGCUUACGCCAGAACAUAUUAGCAUGGAAUAAUAAUUUAGGACUUUUGUUCUAUUUUGUUGGUUUCUAGGACGAAAGUAAUGAUUGAUAGGGAUAGUUGGGGGUGCUAGUAUUCGGCGGCCAGAGGUGAAAUUCUUUGAUCCGCUGAAGACUAACUUAUGCGAAAGCAUUCACCAAGGAUGUCUUCAUCA